rnacentral:piRNA from 1 species
UUUGAUUAAUGUCUCCCUCGCCUCCAAGAC